UACGUAGGGAGCAAGCGUUGUCCGGAAUUAUUGGGCGUAAAGAGCUCGUAGGCGGUCUGUCGCGUCGGUUGUGAAAACUCGGGGCUCAACCCCGAGCCUGCAAUCGAUACGGGCAGACUGGAGUACUGCAGGGGAGACUGGAAUUCCUGGUGUAGCGGUGGAAUGCGCAGAUAUCAGGAGGAACACCGGUGGCGAAGGCGGGUCUCUGGGCAGUAACUGACGCUGAGGAGCGAAAGCGUGGGGAGCGAACAGG
rnacentral:rRNA from 1 species